rnacentral:tRNA from 1 species
GCGUCCAUCGUCUAAUGGAUAGGA